rnacentral:misc_RNA from 1 species
CCGAGUUUACAACUCCCAAACCCCUGUGAACCAUACCUGUCGUUGCUUCGGCGGCCACGCCCCGGCGCCGUCGUGCCCGGAACCAGGCGCCCGCCGGAGGCCCCAUAAACCAUGUUUACCACAGUGGCAUUAUCUGAGUGGCACAAGCAAAUAAAUCA